GUUUAAAAGCUGGUGCAAAAGAAAAUUUAGGGUGAGUAGUUAACUCAUGUGUUACAGCCUUUUGCUUGGACGAGGACGGUGUCGUUUUGAGCUUUAAAGUGAUUAGGAUAGCUUCUUAUCAAGCGAAAAAGUGAUUAGGAUAGCUUCUUCGAGUUGAUUCACACGCCCGCGAUUAGCUAUCUAAAACGAUUUAACAGGGAUGGAAUUCUGCUUUUAAGGAGAUUAGAUUCAUGAUUGUCUAAAGACUUACCCUCUGAUCUCCAGAAGCUCCGUUGUAAGGCAGCGUUUGAAGCACUGAAGUUCUCGCCAAGGGUUAUGGAGAUACGGAAGAAGCUUGCUGAAAGGAUGAGGAGCAAAGGUCCUUUACAUUGCCCUUCAUCUUCGACUUGAGAAAGACGUGUGGGUGAGAACAGGCUGCCUUACUGGUUUGAGCUCAAAGUAUGAUGAGAUUGCAAGACUAGAAGGGAUUAAGCGGCCUCAGCUCUUAACAACCAAAUCUAGCAAGACACCUAAUGAGAGGAAACUUGCAGGUCUCUGUCGUUAAAUGCCAAGGAAGUAACAAGGUUAGUGAGUGAGCUACUGUUUUUCUUUACAACAAAUACGAUAUUGCAUUGCCCCCAUGAACUCAAUCCUUUCGCAAAACGAGCUUCGAUAAUGGCAGCAAUCGACUAUAUAGUAUGCAAGGAGAGUGAUGUGUUCAUGGCAUCUCAUGGAGGAAACAUGGGCUGCGCAAUUAAGGUACACACACACACUCUUUUGGUGGUCAAUUUAAUGUCUGUGUUUACAUAUUCUCAAGGCUAAGGUGUUGAAAACUAAUCUUUCACAGGGCCACAGUGCUUAUGAAGGACAUAAGAAGCUUAUAACACCAAACAAAAGGCAAAUGCUCCCAUACUUUUUGAACAAAACAAUGACUGAGACAGAGUCUGAGAAGAUGAUGAAGAAAUUACACAAACAAUCUCUAGGACAGCCAGAAAUAAGGGUUAGCAAAGCUGGAAGAGAUCUUACAAAAUAUCCUGUUCCUGAGUGUAUGUGCAUUUAUAAUCAAACCUCUCACACUAUUUAAACCUUUUUUUUUGUUGUUGCGCAUACGAUUAUUAUCUUCAAUAAAAGGGUAAUAACAUGCUCUUCUUUCCACAACACACGAGAUGGUUCAUUUAAAACGCUUAUUAAUUCAUAAAGCUCAAAGUCUUACAGAAAAGGAACAAAAGGAACUUUGCAGGGCACAAACUUAAACGCUUAUUUUCCACAGUGUAUCAAACUGCCUGCACCUAGGACCUGCAGGUAAAAAAGGAUCAAUGAUCAUCAAGCAGUGAUCCACUAUGAAUCGCCCAAACGGUUAAGACUGUUUUUUCCACAAUUGUUUACAAAUAUAGUGACAAUAAUAUUUAAUAAUAAAAAUUAAUAAAUUGUGCAUAUUUAUUGAAAAUAUUUUGAUUAUAUAUUUACAAGAGUUAUAAUCCAGAAUUAUAUUUUAACUAUAGUUAGAUUUGUAAUAUAUUGUUUUCUGUUUAUAGUUUAACAAAUAACAUAGUACAUAAUGAUAUUCUUUAUAGAAGUUUUAGUGUAUUUAACUCAU